rnacentral:rRNA from 1 species
CUGGCUCAGGAUUAACGCUGGCGGCGCGCCUAAUACAUGCAAGUCGAACGGAAACCUUCGGGUUUUAGUGGCGAACGGGUGAGUAACGCGUAAGCAACCUACCCUAAAGACGAGGAUAACCAUUGGAAACAGUGGCUAAGACUGGAUAGGAAGAAAUAAGGCAUCUUAUUUCUUUUAAAAGACCUAGUAAUAGGUAUACUUUAGGAGGGGCUUGCGCCAUAUUAGUUAGUUGGUAGGGUAAUGGCCUACCAAGACGAUGAUGUGUAGCUGGACUGAGAGGUUGAACAGCCACAUUGGGACUGAGACACGGCCCAAACUCCUACGGGAGGCAGCAGUAAGGAAUUUUCGGCAAUGGAGGAAACUCUGACCGAGCAACGCCGCGUGAACGACGAAGUACUUUGGUAUGUAAAGUUCUUUUAUCAAGGAAGAAAAGCAAGUGGCGAACCAUUUGUUUGCCGGUACUUGAUGAAUAAGCCCCGGCUAAUUAUGUGCCAGCAGCCGCGGUAAGACAUAAGGGGCAAGUGUUAUCCGGAAUUAUUGGGCGUAAAGGGUGCGUAGGCGGUCUAGUAAGUCAGUGGUGUAAUGGCAACGCUCAACGUUGUCCGGCUAUUGAAACUGCUAAACUUGAGUUAGAUAGAGGCGAGUGGAAUUCCAUGUGUAGCGGUAAAAUGCGUAAAUAUAUGGAGGAACACCAGAGGCGUAGGCGGCUCGCUGGGUCUUAACUGACGCUGAGGCACGAAAGCGUGGGGAGCAAACAGGAUUAGAUACCCUGGUAGUCCACGCCGUAAACGAUGAGUACUAAGUGUCGGGUUAAACCGGUACUGAAGUUAACACAUUAAGUACUCCGCCUGAGUAGUACGUACGCAAGUAUGAAACUUAAAGGAAUUGACGGGACUCCGCACAAGCGGUGGAUCAUGUUGUUUAAUUCGAAGAUACCCGAAAAACCUUACCAGGUCUUGACAUGUUUUUGCGAAACGGUAGUAAUAUCGUAAAGGUUAUCAAAAACACAGGUGGUGCAUGGUUGUCGUCAGCUCGUGUCGUGAGAUGUUAGGUUAAGUCCUAAAACGAGCGAAACCCUUAUCGUUAGUUGCCAGCACGUUAUGGUGGGGACUUUAACGAGACUGCCAGUGAUAAACUGGAGGAAGGUGAGGAUCACGUCAAAUCAGCAUGCCCCUUAUGACCUGGGCUACAAACGUGAUACAAUGGCUGUUACAAAGGGUAGCUGAAACGUAAGUUCUUGGCCAAUCCCCAAAAACAGUCUCAGUCCGGAUUGAAGUCUGCAACUCGACUUCAUGAAGUUGGAAUCGCUAGUAAUCGCGAAUCAGCAUGUCGCGGUGAAUACGUUCUCGGGGUUUGUACACACCGCCCGUCAAACCACGAAAGUUGGCAAUACCCCAAAAUGGUAGCCUAACUCGU